rnacentral:rRNA from 1 species
AACGAACGCUGGCGGCAUGCCUAACACAUGCAAGUCGAACGAGAUCUUCGGGUCUAGUGGCGCACGGGUGCGUAACGCGUGGGAAUCUGCCCUUUGGUUCGGAAUAACAGUUGGAAACGACUGCUAAUACCGGAUGAUGACGAAAGUCCAAAGAUUUAUCGCCAGAGGAUGAGCCCGCGUAGGAUUAGCUAGUUGGUGUGGUAAAGGCGCACCAAGGCGACGAUCCUUAGCUGGUCUGAGAGGAUGAUCAGCCACACUGGGACUGAGACACGGCCCUGACUCCUACGGGAGGCAGCAGUGGGGAAUAUUGGACAAUGGGCGAAAGCCUGAUCCAGCAAUGCCGCGUGAGUGAUGAAGGCCUUAGGGUUGUAAAGCUCUUUUACCCGGGAUGAUAAUGACAGUACCGGGAGAAUAAGCUCCGGCUAACUCCGUGACAGCCGCCGCGGUAA